GGGUCUAGCUCAGUGGUAGAGUGCAUGCUUAGCAUGCACGAGGUCCUGGGUUCAAUCCCCAGUAACUCCA
rnacentral:tRNA from 1 species